UUCAAGGCCAGCUGUGAUGAGGGACAGCUCUGGGCCUGCACCCAUGACGACGGAAAAGUGCUUGGACCCCGUGCCCGCAUCACUAGAUACCUAGAGGAGCGAAUGCUGACACUGGCUGGUCUCUCCACCCCUCCCCCCCUCAGGCCCCACUGCCUUGCAAAGGGGCUUCAAGGACCUGAUUGACACACCUCAGCUCAUUUGCAAGGUCGGGAGCCAAAAGCAAGCAGAGAAAAAAGGCACAGUCCAAAGAAAAGUGAUCAAGCCAUUAGACAACUGGAGGGCGUGCGUCCUAAUUCGUCCUUUCAUGGAGACCCAGAGAACAGCAGGUAAUGGGCGGCUGGUCCACCACGGACAAGCCCUAGAGCUACACAGAUGCAUUUUGGAAAACCAGGGACCCCCAAGCACAGCCUUCAGCUCCUUGAAAGAGCCACAGGAGAGACGGAAGCAGGUGGAGUUCUCACCGCACUCUGAGGGUCUUUGGCUCUCUUCUCGCCGUCGCUGCCUCUGACUCUUUCUCUCCUCUCCUUGGGAAGCGCCCAUAUUCCUUGAAGAAUCCUGACUCUUACAAGGUGUCAACUUGGGGGCUGUGGCCAAACUCACGCCACCAGCUAAAGGAGAAUGACGGUUUGGCCACCCAGGGUCUGACGUGACUGCGUCUUAUCCAGCUGGGGAAAGGGAAGGGAAGGGAGGGGAAGAUUGGGGAUGUUU